UACGUAGGGUGCAAGCGUUGUCCGGAAUUAUUGGGCGUAAAGAGCUCGUAGGCGGUCUGUCGCGUCGGCUGUGAAAACCCGGAGCUCAACUCCGGAUCUGCGGUGGGUACGGGCAGACUAGAGGUGAUGUAGGGGAGACUGGAAUUCCUGGAUGUAGCGGUGAAAUGCGCAGAUAUCAGGAGGAACACCGAUGGCGAAGGCAGGUCUCUGGGCAUUAAACUGACGCUGGAGGAGCGAAAGCAUGGGGAGCGAACAGG
rnacentral:rRNA from 1 species